AAUAGAUACCCUGGUAGUCCACGCCGUAAACGAUGAGUGCUAAGUGUUAGAGGGUUUCCGCCCUUUAGUGCUGCAGCUAACGCAUUAAGCACUCCGCCUGGGGAGUACGGUCGCAAGACUGAAACUCAAAGGAAUUGACGGGGGCCCGCACAAGCGGUGGAGCAUGUGGUUUAAUUCGAAGCAACGCGAAGAACCUUACCAGGUCUUGACAUCCUCUGACAACUCUAGAGAUAGAGCGUUCCCCUUCGGGGGACAGAGUGACAGGUGGUGCAUGGUUGUCGUCAGCUCGUGUCGUGAGAUGUUGGGUUAAGUCCCGCAACGAGCGCAACCCUUGAUCUUAGUUGCCAGCAUUUAGUUGGGCACUCUAAGGUGACUGCCGGUGACAAACCGGAGGAGGUGGGGAUGACGUCAAAUCAUCAUGCCACUUAUGACCUGGGCUACACACGUGCUACAAUGGAUGGUACAAAGGGCUGCAAGACCGCGAGGUCAAGCCAAUCCCAUAAAAACCAUUCUCAGUUCGGAUUGU
rnacentral:rRNA from 1 species